AAACCAGCACCUCAAGUGGUCAGGAGGAUUAUUGGGCCUAAAGCAUCCGUAGCCUGUUCUGUAAGUUUUCGGUUAAAUCCAUUAGCUCAACUAAUGGGCCGCCGAAAAUACUGUAGAACUAGGGAGUGGGAGUGGUAGACGGUAUUCGGUAGGAAGGGGUAAAAUCCUUUGAUCUAUUGAGGACCACCUGUGGCGAAGGCGGUCUACCAGAACACGUUCGACGGUGAGGGAUGAAAGCUGGGGGAGCAAACCGGAUUAGAAACCCCAGUAGUCC
rnacentral:rRNA from 1 species